rnacentral:rRNA from 1 species
CCUACGGGUGGCAGCAGUGAGGAAUAUUGGUCAAUGGCCGCAGGGCUGAACCAGCCAAGUCGCGUGAGGGAUGACGGUCCUAUGGAUUGUAAACCUCUUUUGUCAGGGAGCAAAGGGCGCCACGUGUGGCGUUUUGCGAGUACCUGAAGAAAAAGCAUCGGCUAACUCCGUGCCAGCAGCCGCGGUAAUACGGAGGAUGCGAGCGUUAUCCGGAUUUAUUGGGUUUAAAGGGUGCGCAGGCGGAAUGUCAAGUCAGCGGAAAAAUUGCGGGGCUCAACCCCGGGGUGCCGGUGAAACUGGAGGUGUGGAGGGGGCGAGAAGUAGGCGGAAUGGGGGGUGUAGCGUGGAA